UGAGUAGCUAGAUUUAGUGUCCAGUUUUAAAUGUGUUUGGUACUCUACCUGUACAAUGCCCUUUGGGCUUACGUUAGGUGCACAGAUUGACCCCUUAUUUGGUCUCUUGUGAGUGUUUCUGUGGAGAACUAGGCUAGUGCUCAUCAGGGGAGAUAUUCAGUAAGUAGAGGAACAUCUGAGUCCAACCUACUGUAGCUAAUUUAUGACCAGAUGUGAUACACAAUGGUUUUAAUGGUACACAAUGGCACCAGUCUUUCCAGGAGCCAUUAUGGUAACAGUGACUGCCUCUUAAGUGUGAAACGCCUCAGCAAAACUUCAAGAAAAGGGGAACCAUUACUAUACAAUGAGUAUCAGCUUCAACAUCUGCAGUUCUGCACGGAAAAGCCAUCAUGCAUUCAGGACUGAAAAAGACGCCAGGGGAAAACAAAAAAAUAUGCAAACUCCUUCUGUUUCAGUACGCUACACAGCCGUCUGCUGAGAGGCUUUCUGUCGAAGCAGCAGGUCGAGUCUGAGAGAUGAUUUUAUGGAGGAUUUUCUCACGGUGGGUUCUCUCCAGAAGGGCCUGACGGUGGGCCAGGGGUUUGUCCUUCCAGGUGCCUGGGCACAUUUCACUGCUGUGUGCGCAUUGCACUCAGCUUUUAUUUCUGUUGAACUUGGACGCUCCAUCGUUCAGGCCCUUGCGAAUACUCCUAGUAACAGAAAAGGGAAAAAACUUGAAGAGUCAUGCAAAAGCAAAAGGGUCUGUUGCCAUUGCUGAGGCUGCCUCCUACCAGUGUCUAUAGGGAGGGCAAAGCAGAGCGCCUCAGCUGCUAUCUACUCAGCCCUCUCUGGCCCCUGGCAUGGUCUGGCACGGGCACCACCUCAACACCCACAGCCACUCCUCCAGCCUCUGCCUCUCCACCUAAACCAGCGCACAGAGACCACCACCACCACCUCACAACCCAGCCCAACGCAGCCAGGCCACUGGGGAAAUAACAACAGAAGACAACAUCGUCAAUACAGCAAUAAUAACAAUAGGCCUCUACAGAGACGGACAGAGAAGAAGUCAAUAAAGGACAAGGUAAUGUUCAGAAGGCACAACAAGUAAGAAAACAUAGUGAAACAGGAGGUAUAAUACUAUUGGAACUUCCUUGUUUAAUGAACACAACCCAGCUUCAACAAAAACCUUCAAUACAGCACAGCAUCAACAGAGUUAAGUUCAGGUGGAUGACAAUAUACACAUUGAAGAUACUAGUAGUCCCUAUGAAAUGAAUAGAGGUGAUAUGAUUAAUUGCUAGACCUACUUGACAGAGAGACAAAAAAUAUCAUAUCUAGACAAUUCAUUUCUAUCUGAACUUUCAACAAUGUUGUUCUCUACUGAACACAGCCAGAGCACACACACACACACUUAAGUGUUAAUGUCCAAGAAGCCGGUGUUUGGACGAAAUAUUGGCACAGGUGUUGUUCGUGCCAAUAUAUCCUCUUAACACUGGCUUUGAGGGCAUUAUAACUUUUAUACAAUGGUUACCAACAUACUCAAAUAAUGAUUGAUGUAUUUUCAUUAAAAAUGUUAUUUUGAUGAAUUUAUUCAUACUAUUUCAUCCUUCCACAAGACAUAGUCCGGACACAAAUCUAAAGAAAAUCCAAAGAAAUCAGCCAAGACCUCAGAAAAAAAUUGUAGACCUCCACAAGUCUGGUUCAUCUUUGGGAUGAUUUCCCCAACACCUGAAGGUACCACGUUCAUCUGUACAAACAAUAGUACGGAAGUAUAAACACCAUGGGACCAUUCAGCCGUCAUACCGCUCAGGAAGGAGAAGCAUUCUGUCUCCUAGAGAUGAACGUACUUUGGUGAGAAAAGUGUAAUCAAUCCCAGAACAACAGCAAAGGACCUUGUGAAGAUGCUGGAGGUAACAGGUACAUAAGUACCUAUAUCCACAGUAAAACGAGUCCUAUAUCAACAUAUCCUGAAAGGGCUCUCAGCAAGGAAGAAGCCACUGCUCCAAAACCGCCAUAAAAAACACCAGACUACGGUUUGCAACUGCACAUGGGGACAAAGAUUGCACUUUUUGGAGAAAUGUCCUCUGCUCUGAUGAAACAAAAAUAAAACUCUUUGGCCAUAAUGACCAUCGUUAUGUUUGGAGGAAAAAGGGGGAGGCUUGCAAGCCGAAAGAACACUAUCCCAACCGUGAAGCACGGGGGUGGCAGCAUCAUGUUGUGGGGGUUCUUUGCUGCAGGAGGGACUGGUGCACUUCACAAAAUCGAUGGCAUCAUGAGGUAGGGAAAAUUAUGUGCAUAUAUUGAAGCAACAUCUCAAGACAUCAGUCAGGAAGUUAUUGCUUG
rnacentral:lncRNA from 1 species